GAACACGUCGCAUUGGAGAACUCUUGGUGUGUGUUGCCUGCCCCUGCUUCCCGCUCCGUCCUAGCCUCUCCGACGUCAGCUCUAGCACAUUCUGCCUGAGGUAGACAACGCCCAAGCUAGAGCAGAAAGCAACAGAGAAAUGAAUGAGAUUCACGUGGAACUCAGCCUAGGACUCGGGAUGCUAAGCUGGCCACGCCUGCCCGUGCCCCCUGGACCCCCUCACCGCCCACGGGGAUCCCCAUCAGCCAGCAGCAUCUCCUUGAACUUCUAGCAGAUCCCAGCAUUCCAUGCAGAGGAGGCAGAAAUCUCACACCAGGAGCAAGUUCCCUGAACUGAGUGUUUGGAGAGAAUGUUUUCCCCAAAAAGUACCUUCAAGUUCUUUAGAAAACGCAUCCCAGGCGGGGGUCCCGGGCAGCUGGAAGGCCCCGGGCAACGCAGCCCUUCUUCCAAGAUGCUGUCCCACGUGUCAAGCUGAGUGUCUGCUGCCUUGA
rnacentral:lncRNA from 1 species